GGGCUAUCUUCAGUAGCUAUCUAUCGCUUAACUCUGUCUCUAACAUCCUUCCAACUACCAGCAUAGCAAUCUAAUUAAUACAGCUGUCUGGAAGUUAUGCAUGAAGAAAUACUUCACUGGUCCUUGAAGACUUGUGCCAGAAUCUCAACCCAGUCACGAGAACGUAGAGGCACAAGGACACCCUGUGGGGACCUACUGCUGGGCCAGCUGGGCUGGUCAGCCCACAUCUCCUUACUUCUCAGCCCAGUAGUUUCAAAGACUUAUCUACUUCUUUGGUUAAAAAGUCUUAACUCCUGGACAAAGCCCCACUACUUUCUAUACUGGCUUUCUCUUUAUAAUAAAGCUCCUUGUUGAAUUUACUCUCCAUUAUUUGUGAAAUUCUCUCUUUGAGUUUGUAACACCAAGGACCUGAAAUAUCACUGAUUCUGUAGACGUUUUAGUGACUGUGAGACCAUGACCACUGAGUUAAGCCCACUUGAGACUAGAAAGUCUCUGUCAUACUUAGGGACCACCAUUUUCCCACUUCACUUGGGCAUUAGUGCUCCUGGUCCUUAAGGCUUUGGACUCUGGCUGGGAUUUACAACACCAAACCUACAUUUUCUUAACUUUCAUUGUUUGGAUGGGACUGUAUUGCUGGCUUACACAGCACCAGCUUGGAAAGAACAGAUCAUGGGACUUUCGUGCUACCAUCAUUUUGUGCGUCAGUUUCCCACAGUAACCCUUUCCUUCUACGUCUAGGCACCAUAUUGAUUCUAUUUCCUUGGAGACUCUUGACUAACCAGGAUUUGUAGAAGGCAGUUUGUGUGAUGUUGUGACCGAUUUGGUGGAAAUGACAAAGUGAGGGCUAAAAUUGUGACAGAAUGGAUAAGGAAAUUGGAAUAGACUCGACAGGUAUUUAGGGCCUCGAACUGGCUCUACCUAAUGACAAAGAGGUUAAAUAUGGGAAUCAUGGAGAUAAUUAUCAAUAGAAUAAUCCUUAGCUAUUUGGAUGGAGUCCUUGUGUGAAUGAUGGGAUGAGGACACGGAAGACUAGAUCUGGUGGGUCGUGGGGAUGAGGGGAUGGGAUAAGUGUCAGUGUGGGUACGUUUGCCUUGAAAGUAGAUAGGCAACUGGAGAUGAGCAUAAAAUCUUGUAAAAAUUUCAGAGCUAGAGUUACUGAAAUAGAAAAUGUUUGCAGAGAGGUAGGUGUGGCUGAAGCAUGACACCUGAGAACUCUCCCAAAGGAAUUCGAGUGAGAAGAUGGGAGAGUCAAGGCCUGAGCCUUUGUGAGAGUGAAUGAGGAGUAGGUUCCUGAGGACUAGCAGUGAUGCCAUGCG
rnacentral:lncRNA from 1 species